CUGCCGGUGUAAGUCCGGUCACGGUAAUCGCCAGUGAGCCGUGUAGCUAAAUCCAGUGCGUUACAGUAAUGUAGGGUGCUAAGCGGAUGGAUAAAGUCUUCGAAAGAGGGCGAGCAAUUAUACAGACCGUAACAUAA
rnacentral:ncRNA from 1 species